GACGAACGCUGGCGGCGUGCUUAACACAUGCAAGUCGAGCGGUAAGGCCCUUUCGGGGGUACACGAGCGGCGAACGGGUGAGUAACACGUGAGUAAUCUGCCCUUCACUUCGGGAUAAGCACCGGAAACGGUGUCUAAUACUGGAUAUGAGCAUCCUGCGCAUGUGGGGUGUUGGAAAGUUUUUCGGUGGGGAUGUGCUCGCGGCCUAUCAGCUUGUUGGUGAGGUAAUGGCUCACCAAGGCUUCGACGGGUAGCCGGCCUGAGAGGGUGACCGGUCACACUGGGACUGGAGACACGGCCCUGACUCCUACGGGAGGCAGCAGUGGGGAAUAUUGGACAAUGGGCGGAAGCCUGAUCCAGCAACGCCGCGUGAGGGAUGACGGCC
rnacentral:rRNA from 1 species